UAUACACUUCCUGUUCCACAUUCCUAAUGCCCCAUCUCCUGCUUCCUAAAAGUCCAUGAGUCACUAGGUUAAGAAAAGGGAGCCUUCCACGACAGUAGGUCUGGGACUUGGAAAGCCUCCAUCCCAAACAUCCUAUGUGUCUUCGGGGCCCUGAUUUCCACAAAGUCUGGGCUCGCUUUCCAGCAAAGAGCUUUCUACAAAAGGUACAAGGUAAAGCCUGCAGGGCGGUGAGUUGCUGCCACCACCACCACUAAACAUCUACGAAGCAUCCACUGCCUACAGGGGAACACUUGUAACAACACACUUUCCUGGCGAUUUGAAGACAUCCCUAUGAAUCAUGGCUGCAGAUCCACUACACACACCCAAAGAUCAUCUUUAAAUGAAACGAUGCUCCUGGUCCACCAUCACUGAGAGACGUACAUGAAGAGGAUGCUGGUUGGAACUCAAGGCCCAGUCUGUGGCCAAGGAAUCAAAAACAAGAGGCCCUGAUUGCACUGCCCCAACUAUUCAAGUGCAGCACCUAGAAAGUCCCCUCCUCGAUCAAACCAAAGUUUCCAAGACUCUCCAUGAGGACCACCGGGCAACCACGGAAAAGGGGCCACUACCCACCUGAUAG